AAUGAUAAUGGAUUACAAUGAUGACUAGAGUGCAUUUGGCUCGAGACGUUUCUGUCGAUGUGGAAAAACUCACGCUACCUUAAAUUUAACCUCUGAAU
rnacentral:snoRNA from 1 species